rnacentral:misc_RNA from 1 species
AAGUCGUAACAAGGUUUCCGUAGGUGAACCUGCGGAAGGAUCAUUAUUGAAGUCCACUUGCGAAGCUGCUGCUGGCGUUCUUUUAGAGCGCAUGUGCACGCUUAGCACUUGAACACUUAUCCACCUGUGAACCUUUGUAGGCAGCUUGAGAACACUUGAAAUUUUCAAGUGGAUGGGAGUUUGCUCUAUUCGAGCUUUCUCUGUUAACUCAAUUUUCAAGCUGUCCUACGUUUUUAAACUCUUAAACUUAAACCUUGAUGUAAACCUUUAGCUACUCUGUAGCGAAAGUUAAUACAACUAUUGGCAACGGAUCUCUUGGCUCGC